UGGAGAGUUUGAUCCUGGCUCAGAACGAACGCUGGCGGCGUGCCUAAUACAUGCAAGUCGAACGAGAAAGCCCUUUCGGGGGUAAGUAUAGUGGCGCACGGGUGAGUAACACGUAGGUGACCUGCCCUUUGAUGUGGAAUAACUCUGAGAAAUUGGAGCUAAUACCGCAUAAGAUUGUAGAAUUUGAAAUUAUACAAUGAAAGAUUGCCUCUGCUUGCAAGCAAUCGUCGAAGGAGGGGCCUGCGGGACAUUAGCUAGUUGGUGGGGUAAAGGCCUACCAAGGCAUCGAUGUCUAGCCGGUUUGAGAGGAUGAUCGGCCACACUGGAACUGAGACACGGUCCAGACUCCUACGGGAGGCAGCAGUAGGGAAUAUUGCGCAAUGGGCGAAAGCCUGACGCAGCAACGCCGCGUGAGUGAGGAAGGCCUUAGGGUUGUAAAGCUCUGUCGGAAUGGAAAAAGGGCGAUGGGUCUAAUAGGCCCAUUGAUUGAUGGUACAUUCAAAGGAAGCACCGGCUAACUUCGUGCCAGCAGCCGCGGUAAUACGAAGGGUGCGAGCGUUGUUCGGAUUUAUUGGGCGUAAAGAGCACGUAGGUGGUCUAGUAAGUCAGGUGUGAAAUCUCGGGGCUCAACUCCGAAACUGCGCCUGAAACUGCGAGACUAGAAUAUUGGAGGGGGAAGAGGAAUUUCGCAUGUAGGGGUAAAAUCCGUAGAUAUGCGAAGGAACACCAGAGGCGAAGGCGUCUUCCUGGCCGAUAAUUGACACUGAGGUGCGAAAGCGUGGGUAGCAAACAGGAUUAGAUACCCUGGUAGUCCACGCCGUAAACGAUGAGAACUAGAUAUUGUGAUGAUUGAUCGUUGCAGUGUCGCAGCUAACGCAUUAAGUUCUCCGCCUGGGGAGUACGGUCGCAAGACUAAAACUCAAAGGAAUUGACGGGGGCCCGCACAAGCGGUGGAUUAUGUGGUUUAAUUCGAAGCAACGCGCAGAACCUUACCUGGGCUUGAACUCCUACGAACCUGUUAGAGAUAAUGGGGUGCCCUUUUUGGGAAUGUAGUGAGAGGUGCUGCAUGGCUGUCGUCAGCUCGUGUCGUGAGAUGUUGGGUUAAGUCUCGCAACGAGCGCAACCCCUAUUUUUAGUUGCCAGCAUUAAGUUGGGCACUCUAAAGAAACUGCCUGGGCAACCAGGAGGAAGGUGGGGAUGACGUCAAGUCCUCAUGGCCCUUAUGUCCAGGGCUACACACGUAAUACAAUGGCGCAUACAGAGGGAAGCGAACCUGCGAGGGGGAGCCAAUCUCAAAAAGUGCGUCUCAGUCCGGAUUGGAGUCUGCAACUCGACUCCAUGAAGUUGGAAUCGCUAGUAAUCGCGGAUCAUCACGCCGCGGUGAAUACGUUCCCGGGCCUUGUACACACCGCCCGUCACACCAUGGGAGUUGGUUUUACCUGAAGUCGUGGCCCUAACCGCAAGGGGGGGAGCGCCUACGGUCGGACUGAUGACUGGGGUGAAGUCGUAACAAGGUAGCCGUAGGGGAACCUGCGGCUGGAUCACCUCCUUUUAA
rnacentral:rRNA from 2 species